rnacentral:rRNA from 1 species
UACAGAGGGUGCAAGCGUUGCUCGGAUUUACUGGGCGUAAAGCGUACGCAGACGGCCACGCAGGUCGGGUGUGAAAGCCCCGGGCUCAACCUGGGAAGUGCACUUGAAACUGUUUGGCUCGAGUAUCGGAGAGGUUGGUGGAAUUCUCGGUGUAGAGGUGAAAUUCGUAGAUAUCGAGAGGAACACCGGUGGCGAAGGCGGCCAACUGGACGAAUACUGACGCUGAGACACGAAAGCGUGGGGAGCAAACAGG